rnacentral:rRNA from 1 species
UAACGCGUGGGUAACCUGCCUUAUACAGGGGGAUAACAGUCAGAAAUGGCUGCUAAUACCGCAUAAGCGCACAGAGCUGCAUGGCUCAGUGUGAAAAACUCCGGUGGUGUGAGAUGGACCCGCGUUGGAUUAGCCAGUUGGCAGGGUAACGGCCUACCAAAGCGACGAUCCAUAGCCGGCCUGAGAGGGUGGACGGCCACAUUGGGACUGAGACACGGCCCAA